CCUACGGGAGGCAGCAGUGAGGAAUAUUGGUCAAUGGACGAGAGUCUGAACCAGCCAAGUAGCGUGAAGGAUGACGGCCCUAUGGGUUGUAAACUUCUUUUAUAUGGGAAUAAAAUGGUACACGUGUGGGCGUUUGUAUGUACCAUAUGAAUAAGGAUCGGCUAACUCCGUGCCAGCAGCCGCGGUAAUACGGAGGAUCCGAGCGUUAUCCGGAUUUAGUGGGUUUAAAGGGAGCGUAGGUGGAUUGUUAAGUCAGUGGUGAAAUGUUGGGGCUCAACCGUGAAAUUGCAGUUGAAACUGGCAGUCUUGAGUACAGUAGAGGUAGGCGGAAUGCGUGGUGUAGCGGUGAAAUGCUUAGAUAUCACGAAGAACGCCGAUUGCGAAGGCAGCUCACUGGACUGCAACUGACACUGAGGCUCGAAAGUGUGGGUAUCAAACAGGAUUAGAUACCCUGGUAGUC
rnacentral:rRNA from 1 species